rnacentral:rRNA from 1 species
GCUACGGGCGGCUGCAGUGAGGAAUAUUGGUCAAUGGACGCAAGUCUGAACCAGCCAUGCCGCGUGCAGGAAGACGGCUCUAUGAGUUGUAAACUGCUUUUGUACGAGGGUAAACGCAGAUACGCGUAUCUGUCUGAAAGUAUCGUACGAAUAAGGAUCGGCUAACUCCUUGCCAGAAGCCGCGGUAAUACGGAGGAUUCAAGCGUUAUCCGGAUUUAUUGGGUUUAAAGGGGGCGUAGGCGGUCGGAUAAGGUAGAGGUGAAAUCCCGGGGCUCAACUUCGGAAUUGCCUUUGAUACUGUUCGGCUAGAGCGUAGUUGCGGUAGACGGAAUGUAUGGUGUAGCGGUGAAAUGCUUAGAGAUCAUACAGAACACCGAUUGCGAAGGCAGCUUACCGAGCUACUUCUGACGUUGAGGCACGAAAGCGUGGGGAGCAAACAGGAUUAGAUACCCCAGUAGUC